rnacentral:rRNA from 1 species
AAGCUGGCGGCGUGCUUUAUGCAUGCAAGUCGAACGGCCUCGUUUCGGGGUGAAGGAGAUGGCGAACGGGUGAGUAACACGUAAGUAACCUGCCCUUAAGUGGAGAAUAACCCUGGGAAACUAGGGCUAAUACUGCAUGUGGUCCUUUGCUUGAAGGUGAAGGAUUAAAGCCUUCGGGCGCUUAGGGAUGGGCUUGCGUCCGAUUAGCUAGUUGGUAAGGUAACGGCCUACCAAGGCGAUGAUCGGUAGCUGGUUUGAGAGGACGGUCAGCCACACUGGGACUGAGAUACGGCCCAGACUCCUACGGGAGGCAGCAGCAAGGAAUUUUGCGCAAUGGGCGAAAGCCUGACGCAGCGACGCCGCGUGGGGGAAGAAGGCUUUCGAGUCGUAAACCCCUUUUAUCAGGGAAGAAAAAUGACGGUACCUGAGGAAUAAGUCUCGGCUAACUACGUGCCAGCAGCCGCGGUAAUACGUAGGAGGCAAGCGUUAUCCGGAUUCAUUGGGCGUAAAGAGGGCGUAGGCGGCUUUUCAAGUCGGAUGUAAAAUCUCCCGGCUUAACCGGGAGGGAUCACUCGAUACUGUUGAGCUAGAGGGCAGCAGAGGGAGACGGAAUUCCCGGUGGAGUGGUGAAAUGCGUAGAUAUCGGGAGGAACACCAGUGGCGAAGGCGGUCUCCUGGGCUGUUCCUGACGCUGAGGCCCGAAAGCGUGGGUAGCGAACAGGAUUAGAUACCCUGGUAGUCCCGCUGUAAACGAUGGAUACUAGGUAUGGGGAGUACGAGCCUUUCCGUGCCGUAGCUAACGCUUAAGUUCCCGCCUGGGGAGUACGCCGCAAGGCUAAAACUACAAAGAAUUGAACG